AGCAGAUGAUGGCUUCCUCUCACAAUGGUCUGUGACACCACUGUGGCCAGUGCCAAUAAUGCCAAUGGCUCAGCUGAUGCCAGGAG